rnacentral:rRNA from 1 species
AGAGUUUGAUCCUGGCUCAGAUUGAACGCUGGCGGAAUGCUUUACACAUGCAAGUCGAACGGCAGCACGGGUGCUUGCACCUGGUGGCGAGUGGCGAACGGGUGAGUAAUGCGUCGGAACGUACCGAGUAAUGGGGGAUAACGCAGCGAAAGUUGUGCUAAUACCGCAUACGCCCUGAGGGGGAAAGCGGGGGACCGCAAGGCCUCGCGCUAUUGGAUGAGCCCGCGUCCGAUUAGCUAGUUGGUAGGGUAAUGGCCUACCAAGGCGACGAUCGGUAGCUGGUCUGAGAGGACGAUCAGCCACACUGGGACUGAGACACGGCCCAGACUCCUACGGGAGGCAGCAGUGGGGAAUAUUGGACAAUGGGCGAAAGCCUGAUCCAGCAAUGCCGCGUGUGUGAAGAAGGCCUGCGGGUUGUAAAGCACUUUCGGUAGGAAAGAAAAGGCCGUCGCUAAUACCGGCGGUUCUUGACGUUACCUACAGAAGAAGCACCGGCUAAUUCCGUGCCAGCAGCCGCGGUAAUACGGAAGGUGCGAGCGUUAAUCGGAAUUACUGGGCGUAAAGCGCGCGUAGGUGGUUCGGUAAGUCGGGUGUGAAAGCCCUGGGCUCAACCUGGGAAUUGCAUUCGAUACUGUCGGGCUAGAGUGUGGUAGAGGGGGGUGGAAUUCCAGGUGUAGCGGUGAAAUGCGUAGAUAUCUGGAGGAACACCAGUGGCGAAGGCGGCCCCCUGGACCAACACUGACACUGAGGUGCGAAAGCGUGGGUAGCAAACAGGAUUAGAUACCCUGGUAGUCCACGCCGUAAACGAUGUCAACUAGCCGUUGGAUCCGCUUUAAGGGUUUAGUGGCGCAGCUAACGCGAUAAGUUGACCGCCUGGGGAGUACGGCCGCAAGGUUAAAACUCAAAGGAAUUGACGG